CAUGGUUAGAUCCGUUCUAAGUAUAUCCCCCCGUAUCGCCUCAGACGUUGUGAACCCGAGUACGAAUCACAGCGCAUGCACAGACACAUACACACUCGCCCAUAAACUUCACUGCGCUCCCAGCAUCGACUGCCCACAUCUCUGUCUCCUCCCCUCUGCUCUGGCAGCGCCCCGUAGGUCUCUUGCCAUGCUGCUGAGCCGACGCUGGCACCAGGCCAGUGCUGCGCGUGGCAGCAGGGCCCCCGUCGUCUCCUUCACGGCUGCGGCGCUUACUAAAACGCUGGUGGCCGAUCCGCCGCCGCUGCCGCCGAUGAAGGGCGUCGCCUUUGGCACCCUCUUUACGCCGCACAUGGUGAUAAUCGACUUCAACGACGGCAGGUGGGGUGCGCCGGCGAUCGUACCUUUCGCCAACUUUUCGCUGCCGCCGCAGACGUCGUGCCUGCACUACGCGACACAGUGCUUCGAGGGAAUGAAAGUGUACGCGGACAUUGCCGACAUCACGAGGGCUGCGAGGGGUGAGAAGCUGGAGAAGCAGAGCCUGCGCCUGUUCCGCCCUGACCGGAACGUUGCGCGCCUGCGCCACAGCAUGCGCUCUCUGUGCUUCCCGGACUUUGACGAGGCGGAGAUGCUGAAGGUGAUCAUGGAGUUCGUGAGGACGGAGAAAGAUUACGUGCCUAAGGAGCACGGCUACUCGCUGUACCUGCGUCCGGCUGCUAUCGGCACCGCAGAUAGCCUCGGCGCCACUCCCUCGAGGUCGGUGCGUCUCUUCGUGAUUGCUUCGCCCGUGGGGCCGUACUACCUGCCGCCGGAGGACCAGUCGGGUGCGAUGGCCAUCAAGCCCGUGACGCUGCUUGCGGAGGAUAAGCGCAAGCGCGCGUGGCCCGGUGGCACUGGCGGCAGCAAGCUGGGUGCCAACUACGCUGGGCCGCUGCUGGUUCAGGAGGAGGCGCAGGCUCUCGGCUACAACCAGGUGCUGUGGCUCGGCUCCAAGGAUGAGGUGCAGGAGGCCGGAUUCAUGAACUUCUGCACGCUGUGGAAGACGAAGGAGGGCAAGACAGAGCUGGUCACCGCGCCGCUGGACGGGACGAUCCUGCCCGGCGUGACGCGCGACUCGAUCCUGGCGCUUGCACGGUCGUGGGGCGAGUUCGAGGUGUCGGAGCGCCCGUACUACAUGUCUGAGCUGGCGGAGGCGCUGCAGGAGGGGCGCGUGAUGGAGUGCUUCGGAUGCGGCACGGCUGCCAUCGUGUCUUCCGUGAGCAUGAUUGCGUAUCGCGGCAAGGAAUACAGCGUGCCGCUCUCGGAGCCGAGCUACGCGCGCCGGUUCCUGAACGAGAUCAUGGAUAUCCAGUACGGCAAGACGCCGAGCCCGUGGUCAGUGAAGGUUGAGGCUUAAAGCAGGUUUCGUCUGAUCAGAUGAUGGUGGUGCGGCGAUGAUCUGGGCAAGAGAGAGGCAAGUGUGCCAGGGUGCCUUGCUAGUCAUACAGAUAGUCGCACAUGUGCCCGUGUGACAUCCGUAAGAAGGUCGGAAGCUAACAGAUGAGAUACGCGCGCCUGGGUUCCGUACUCUACUUGGGUGUGCUGCGUCCCUCUGCGAUCUGCUCCCUCCACGACCAUGACCACGACAAUCACCGUCUUCUCUCACGCCUCGCUAACCUUCUUUUAUGACUGCUAUUGCUGGUGUGUGUGAGUGCGCGUUUUUUUUGGUAUCGUUGUUGUUUGUACCCCACUGGCGAGGAGCGGUGUGGAAGUUAGUCGGUGCUCGUCAAAGCCGUUACGUGCAUGAACGCCGAGGAACCCCCGCCUGACCGCGCCCUCCCCCUCUCUUUCUUUCUCUCUUGUUUAACGCAGACACACACACACACACACACACCAGACACGCGUGCUUCGUUCUUCAUGUUCCAAAAAUUGUUUUUGUGUGUGCUUGUGUGAUUGGCUAAUGCGUAGUCGCGGCCGACUCACGCGCAUGUAUGUUCAUUUUUUGUUUGACCCUCUGUGUGUGCUGGCGCAUAGGCGCUCUCCUUCUCCCCCCUCCUCCUCUGGGCAACACUGUCUGCCUCCACCACCGAACUUUUCUCUCUCCAAAAGAUGUUCAUUUUUUUUUGUUGUUAUCUACUUUCAUUGACCUAUCGCAUGAUCUUUUCUAUAUAUCGUUUUCCUUAUGUAUAGAUAUAUUGCUAUAUCUAUAUCUAUUCCGCCUCGCCGCUUCUUCCACUCGGAGGUGUCAGAACGUGGAGGGGAGGGGCAGUCCGCCGCCAUCAUCGACCGUUCCGUCGUCGAGCUCGCGACGACCAUAUGGCUGCUCUCGCUGCUGGUGGUGAUGUCGACGGGCGUUGUAGUGCCGAUGCAGCGAAGCGAAGCGCGGUGGGUGUCGUUCUGGCGAGGUCGGAAGCGCGCCGGCUACUUCACUCCAUCGUGUCACUCUCUUCUUUCCCACCGACUCCAACCGACUUGGCCUCCCCUGCCGCCCUUUCACACACACUAAUCCCUCACUCACCUAUAUUCCUUCGCUUUUGUAAUUCUUGUCUUCCCUCUCGCUCAUGUCGGCGAUCGCGGCAGCGAAAAUGAACAACGCUCCGAUGAAGCGAUGCUGCGACUUCAGGCCUCUCUCUCGCGCGAGAUCGCGACUUCUCUUUUCUUUCCGUUGACCAACGGC
rnacentral:misc_RNA from 1 species